ACCUGAAAGGUAAAUCUGCUACUCUGGUGACUCGGUCCCUCUGGUCACUAUUCUCCAACCCUCGAUUGUCAGCUGAAUAUUCAGGGAAGAUUUUUAUGGAAGCGUAUUAACCAGACACACACUCUUUGCUUUCCAUAAUCUUCUGACAAUGUAUUCAAAAUGCUCUGUAUUUAUACAAUAUUUGUCACGAAUAUUGGUUACAAAAGGUUACAAAAAGGUUACAAAAAGGUUACAAAAAGGUUACACAAGAUACAUAAAAGAGGAAGCAGUUUCUGCUGUUACAUUCAAUAAUCUAAUCUUACAAAAUAUUACAUAUACAUUGUGGUUAGGCAUUUCCUGAUACAUAGAAACUGUCAUAGCUUGUGACUUCCUUUCAGUUAUGUUUUGCAAGCAGUUCUAAAAUACUGACAGAUUAAUUGUUUAACCCCUUAAGGACCAAAUUUCUGGAAUAAAAGGGAAUCAUGACAUGUCAUGUGUCCUUAAGGGGUCAAUAUUCCUUCAUUUCCCCCUCUUUGAGCAAUAUCUUGCUCAUACCCUAUUUAAGGAGUCCUGGUCAGACAACCAGCCAUCUGCCAUGGUAUAUUCAGGAUUGCUAGCCAAUCCUGCAGGUCUUUCAUUAUGUCUUCGGCCACUAUUCCCAUAGCAUAGGACUAGGCAUCUGACCAGUACCACAAACUUAUAGAUCUGUAUCAGUAUGUUCACCAUUGCUUCGGUUAUGUGUAUACAUUUGGAGAUACUCAUCAUGGCAAGCUGGGGAUUUUACAGGAACAGUGUUGCGUGUAUGUUUGCAAAUGCAGAAUACAAUAAUCUUGAAAAUAGCAUAAACAAGUAGAGCAAGGAUCAGAACCAUAACAAUAAUUAUUGCAAUAUUCUUUAGCCAGUCUAGGAUACUGUCAAACUUAAACAUAUCUGCCCAUGGGUGAUCAAUACCUGAAUUCCUCUUCAUUUCUAUGGACAGGUCUUCCAAUUUCUUUAUAGCUAGGGUUACUUUACCAUUAGGGCCAGUGUUCUCUGGAAUAUAGGUACAACAAACACCGAAGUCAAGUAAUUUACAGACUCCUCCCUUUUCUGCUAAAAUCAUAUCAAGGGCCAUUCUAUUCUGGAAAGUCAUUUGUGAGGUAGCCUGUAAUUGUUCAGCAAGACCUUGUAAUGCAUCUUGUGUAUAAUUUACAAAUCUUUGCUGAUUAUAAUAUAUAUAAUUAAUCCAGUUAACAUUCUUGUUAGCUGUUAUAAUGGGAAAUAUUGAUUCAAAUCCUGCUGCCACCUCGUCUCUAGCUUUAAAUUCAUUAGGAACCCCUCUUGGAAUACCAAUGGCAUCUAGAUAGAUAUGUGGGUCGAAACUACCUUGUGGGGAUUCCCUUUUCCUUCUUGUGGAAUCAGUUACAACCUUAAUUUCAGGGAGAGAGUCGCCAAAUAUAUGGAGGGGCAUGAUUAUUUUGGCUGGGGCACAUUCUCCUCUCCAGGGGGUGGGGAGUCUAGAACGUAUUUUCAUAUCUCCACAUAUUCAAUAAACAUCUCCCACAGAUUGUUUUUGAUUCACUAAGGUAAUAUUACUGUAGGCGGAGCAGAAUCCUGAAGAGAAGUUAUCAAAUUGUGUACCCACCUUACCAUUAUUAUUUCCCUGAAAACAAGUAUAAUUACCAGGAUAUACUGGGACAACAUCAUUUAAAUUAAACUUGGGUUCACCAAUAGGGUGACCCUUUUUCCAUUCUUCACAUUCUGUAGUAUUAACAGUGAUACCUGAAAACAAACUUAGGAAACAUUCCCAGUACUCAUCAGGGACAUGUAAAGGUACAGUUCCUAGAUGAGGUCUGGCACUACCACAUACAUAACAGUUUGACCUAUUGUUGGAAUGGGCAUUAUAUCUCAUCCAUUCCAGCCAUAGGUUUGUAUCUGCAUACCCUGUUUCUAACGCUAUGGUAUCUCCAAACGUGGGAUCUGCUAUGGCCAUCAUAUUACCAAGGGUCUGAAUGUGGGGCUUUAGAGGAUUAACAAGAGUUUGUCUAGAGGUGAGGCUUUCCCAUUUUGAGGAGUUCCAUAUAUCUUUUAACUGGAUUUUUCCUCGAUUACCUCCAAUACCUCCUCUUAAAAAGGUACUGAGAAUAUAAAUACCUUGAUCUCCAGGACUGGGGUUUUCAAUAUUUAAGGUAAAUUUCAUGGAGUGCCCAGUUUGCCCUAUAGAGGUACAUGUACCUGGCUUUGUUAGGGUCAUUCUAGUCAAGAGGGACUUCCCAUUCGUAUCCUUUUUAUCUAAUGCAUUCUGUGGCUUAUAACCCCAAUCUGUCCCGGUGUUCCAUCCAACUGAGCCCCAAUAAUCACAAUUGUUACCCCUCUUUGAGCAAUAUAUAUUGCUCAUAUCAUCGGAUAACAUUCUCCCAAGACAGAGAAAUUUCCACAUUAUGGCAUUCCCAAGCAAUCAUGUGGUCUACAAGAAACAGAAACUCAGCAGAAAAAAAACAAAACAAAAACCACUUAAUACUUUUGCAGACAGAUAUAUAGAAAAUGGAUGUUUAAGACAGAAUGGAACUUGGGCUUAUAGCAACUAUAUUUUUGCACAACCAGGACCUUGCGUCCUAUAUUUUUAACCAUUUCCCUAUUCCAAAAGUCCAGUCAAAACCAGUCAUAUCCUCACGCAGUUCCUCAAAACAUGGGAAUCCAUCCCUGGCACACUCAACAUAUAUCAAAAACACACAUAGUACAUCCAUCCCUGGGUCAGCUAACACUUCCUCUCUCUCUGGCUAACUCUACAAAAAUAAAAAUAGUUCAAUAGUUCAGCAUAGUUCAGAAAAAUAGAAUAAGUCUUUCACAGAGUAUAAAGAAAUCAGUUUAGACACCAGACAUUUUGUUCCAUAAAAUGGCUAAGGGUAGCAAUAUGGCUGACAACAAGACAAUGUCAGCUUCCACAUAGUUCUUCUUCUUGUUUGCUGGAUUUUCACCACAAAGCUCUGUGCAACACCCCAAUGGUUGAAAGGGUUAUUACAGAACCAGCGGUAUUAGACAGCACUGCACCUUCAGGACUUUCCAGGUUCUUGCGUGCAAAGUUUAUGUCCUCAUAAAUAAGUAUCUCAGUUUCUUCGGCCUGCAUGGAUAAUGACCAAACAGACGUAAUUGCAAAAUACUUAUUGCAUGGUCAGCCAGAGAGAUUGGUGUGUAGUCCCAGAAAUCAGGCGGCACAAACACUCCAGGACGGUCUCUACAAUCAUACAAACACAAGGAUCAAUACAACAUUAAUUAAUUACCUAGGCUAAAACUUAAAUUAGAGAUUAAGGUUAAACCCUUAAUUUGUGUAACAUGUACUUCUCUUAUAAUUUAUGCAAUCUGUCUUCUAUGAAGUUUUACAUUAUACCCCUUUGGAAUGCCUUUGUACGGAUGAGAGUAGCACUCACUCUAUAGAAAUCCUUGUUAGGAUGAAUAUUAAAACACUAACAUAUACAUAUGGGGAUAAUUCCCAAUAAAACUCUGUUCCUAAACUGGAACCUUGAUUUGAUAUUCAAAAUUAAUUACUUUAAUACUCGCGAAUAAUUCAAUACUCUUGGAUUAACACCUAAAACUAUAUAAAAUAUUACAAACAUGAACCAUCUGUGUAUUAGGCUGGGGUUGUUGGGUGUGGGUAUAGG